rnacentral:misc_RNA from 1 species
UAAUCUCACCUCUUUGACUUUUGUCGAUCAGUGUGGACUUGGAUGUUGCCGUGUAACAAACGGCUCGUCUGAAAUGCCUGAGUGUACCCUGCUUUGCGGCGUAUUCGGUGUGAUAAAUCUUCACCGGAGUCUGACUUUCGAGUCGCGCUUGUAUCGUAUGGCUCUGUGCUUCCAACCGUCUUAACAAGACAAUCUUUGACA